rnacentral:rRNA from 1 species
GACGAACGCUGGCGGCGUGCUUAACACAUGCAAGUCGAACGGAAAGGCCCUGCUUUUGUGGGGUGCUCGAGUGGCGAACGGGUGAGUAACACGUGAGUAACCUGCCCUUGACUUUGGGAUAACUUCAGGAAACUGGGGCUAAUACCGGAUAGGAGCUCCUGCUGCAUGGUGAGGGUUGGAAAGUUUCGGCGGUUGGGGAUGGACUCGCGGCUUAUCAGCUUGUUGGUGGGGUAGCGGCUUACCAAGGCUUUGACGGGUAGCCGGCCUGAGAGGGUGACCGGCCACAUUGGGACUGAGAUACGGCCCAGACUCCUACGGGAGGCAGCAGUGGGGAAUAUUGCACAAUGGGCGGAAGCCUGAUGCAGCAACGCCGCGUGCGGGAUGACGGCCUUCGGGUUGUAAACCGCUUUCGCCUGUGACGAAGCGUGAGUGACGGUAAUGGGUAAAGAAGCACCGGCUAACUACGUG